rnacentral:rRNA from 1 species
GAUGAACGCUGACAGAAUGCUUAACACAUGCAAGUCUACUUGAAUUUGGGUUUUUUAACUUAGAUUUGGGUGGCGGACGGGUGAGUAACGCGUAAAGAACUUGCCUCACAGUUAGGGACAACAUUUGGAAACGAAUGCUAAUACCUGAUAUUAUGAAUAUAUGGCAUCAUAUAAUUAUGAAAGCUAUAAGCGCUGUGAGAGAGCUUUGCGUCCCAUUAGCUAGUUGGAGAGGUAACGGCUCACCAAGGCGAUGAUGGGUAGCCGGCCUGAGAGGGUGAACGGCAACAAGGGACUGAGACACGGCCCUUACUCCUACGGGAGGCAGCAGUGGGGAAUAUUGGACAAUGGACCAAGAGUCUGAUCCAGCAAUUCUGUGUGCACGAUGACGUUUUUCGGAAUGUAAAGUGCUUUCAGUUGGGAAGAAAAAAAUGACGGUACCAACAGAAGAAGUGACGGCUAAAUACGUG